rnacentral:lncRNA from 1 species
UCCACCCGCACACAAAGGCGGGUCGCAGCCCCGCAGGCGGGGACAGGGCCAGCAAGGGGCGUGGACCCUCGGUGCCACUGCCUCGCGUGGGAGCCUCGGGUCGGGCCGCCAUCUUGUGCUACGGCCACCGCCCCCGCCAGGAGACACCUGGCAACUCCGCCCGGCCAUCUUUUACGAUAAACCUUCGCUGCAACCGCUGCGUCACAUCACUACUGCGUUUGGUGAAGCUUUAGGGGAAGCAGUCAUCCUGUCGUCUAGUACGGCAAAAUCCUCCAUUGCCGUAGCCGUUCGGCUGACGUGACUCCGCGCCCUCUGGCGGCAGUGCCGGAGCAGCGGCGCUGUCUUUGACCUAUUGGUGAUUCGGCUUCCGGGACCGCUCGGCGGGUGUGAAAGCAGACCUGGGGCGAGGUGGGGUCGCUUCCUGGGACUGGGUCUGAGCUUGCGCAGUGAGCGAUGUGGGGGGUCAUGGCCUGGCGUGGGUGCGUGGACGGGUGGGGCUGCUGGAUUUGGUGCUGGAAAGCUGGGGAAAUAAGCAUGCAUUUAAGAAGGGUGGGCUGGGUUCGCUGCCUAAAGCCGGUAAUUCCAGCACUUUAGGAGGCCGAGGCAGGCAGAUCACGAGGUCAGGGGUUCGAGACUAGCCUGGCCAACAUGGCGAAACCCCGUCUCUAGUAAAAAUACAAAAAUUAGCCAGCGUGGUGGCAUAUGUAAUCCCAGCUACAUGGGAGGCUGAGGCAAGAGAAUUGCUUGAACCCAGGAGGCAGAGGUUGCAGUGAGCCGAGAUUGUGCCACUGCACUCCAGCCUGUCGACAUUCGCAGCCAGGCUCGGUGACUUACUCCCGUAAUCCCAGUACUUUGGGAGGCCGAGGCAAGGCGGAUCACCUGAGGUCGGGAGUUUGAGAACAGCUUCACCAACGUGGAGAACCCCCACCCCAUCUCUACUAAAAAUACAAAAUUAGCCGGGCAUGGUGGCGCAUGCCUGUAAUCCCAGCUACUCAGGAGGCUGAGGCAGGAGAAUUGCUUGAACCCAGGAGGUGGAGGUUGCAGUGAGCCGAGAUCGCGCCAUUGCACUCCAGCCUGGGCAACAAGAGUGAAACUUUGUCUCUCUCUCUCUCUGACACACACACACACACACACACACACACACGCCUCCUGUGGUCUCACUUGGUCCUUUUUGUGACAGUGCCAUUGUUACCGUUUACAGGGGAGGAAUGGAAGCUCACCGUUGAGCCUCUCACUUGCCCACUUUGCCAAACCCUGGUACGGAUGGGAUUAGAGCCCCUUGUCUUUCGUGAAAUGAGACAAAAACGCUUACUCUGGGGGAUCGUUGGAAGGAUUAAAAUGAGUAUUCAAAUUACAAUGCUGGAUUCUUAAUAGUGUCCUCUGUUAAUAAUAAUAAUAAUAAUAUAGUAGCAACAGUCACGUAGUCUUUACAGUCACAGGCGUGUAUGUGUAGAUGGGUUCUCUGUAUUAGUCAGGCUGGUCUCCAACUCCUGGCCUGAGGCUAUCCUCGCAUCUCUUCUUCCCUUAGUGCUGGGAUUACAGAUGUGAACCACUGCACCCGCCUGCAGUUUUUACUGCAACUCUGUGAGGUGGUUGGUACUAGCAUUCCCUUUUGACAAAUAAGGACACUGAGGAAAGCAGAAGUAACUUGGUUUGGCUGAGGUCACAGAACAGCUGUAGCAAUUCCUGGGUGAUGUGGAGUGGAAGGCUCUGGCCUUAACUGCUACACAUUGUCUUUGGUAACAAGGCCCUGCCUGAAGUAUAUUCCGGCUUCUAGAGGUUGCAAGGAAAUGGACCACUCGUCAGUUCUUGCAGCCUCCUUAUAAUCUACAGUGGGACGUCGCAAAGGAAGGCCUAGUAGGAAAACAAAGAGAAGAGGGUUGGAAGAAGAGAAGGAUUGGGACUCAGAAGUUAUGAGGGAAUGGACUAGAAAGGAUAGAAACAAAGCUCUUGGCCAGGUGCAGUGGCUCACACCUGUAAUCCCAGCAGUUUGAGAGGGCGAGAUGGGUGAAUCAACUGAGGUCAGAAGUUCUAGGCCAGCCUGGCCAAAAUGGCGAAACCCCAUCUCUACUAAAAAUACAAAAAAAAAAAAAAAAAA